rnacentral:tRNA from 1 species
GCCGCCUUAGCUCAGUCGGCCAGAGCAAUUCACUCGUAAUGAAUAGGUCAUCGGUUCGAUUCCGAUAGGCGGCU